GUCCAGAAUUAUUUCAGACCACUUUUUAGCCAUUGUCCAACACCUGGCCACUUUGUUCAUCAAUAAAAAAAAACCCAUUUUUUUUUGUUUGUUUGUUUCCUUGUCUUCGAAAUGUUAUUGCCUAACGUGUGAUAUUUUAGGGAUGGCCCUUGUUUCGAGUAGACAUUUAGAUGAGAGUGGGUUUGAAACAUGGAUGAAUACACUUGGGUGUAUAGUCCGCUCUGUAGUUAUUUUAUUAGUUGUGGUGGAUGCGAGAGUGCAAGGUUGGACUCCAGCGGUAUUUGAGCUCGGGUAUCUAGCUAAAGUGUCUUAGUUGCCUUUGAUAGGUGAAUAAAGUAAUUUCAGAAUUUCUGUGAUAUUAACAAUUGAUAGUGAUAAUGCGCGGCUCUUGCAGAAUUUUGGAAUAACUGGCCUUCGAAGUUCCAUACUUCAUGGGAAAGGAAAAACAAAAACAGGUAUUUUGGAUUUUAAUAUAAAAAAAAAUUUUUUUUUUUAAAAUCCAUUGAACAAAAAUAUUCUGGUUUCAGAUAAUCUAAUAUUGGUUUUGGCAAAUGUGACUGUAUGGUAAGAAGCUUGCUUCCCAACCAGGUGGUCUUGGGUUCAGUCCCACUGCAUGCUACCUUGGGCAAGCGUUUCCCACUAUAGCCCCCAGGCCAACCAAAUCCUUAUGAGCAGAUUUGGUAAUGGGAUGUGUUUUGUGUAAUAUGUAUGUUUGUCCUCCACCAUUGGUUGACACCUGGUGUUGGUUAAUGACCCCAUAACUACCAGUUCGUCAAAAAGAGCCCCCCAAAAAUAAGUACCAGGUUUAAAUAUUGGGGUCAGGUUAAGGCAGAGCCUCACCAUGGCUUCAGAUCAAUGACCGAAACAAAAGAUAAUAGCAUUUUAAACAUUGUGUUGGUGGUCAUUUAUUUCCAAGAUUGAAUUAUAUAUAAGAUUUAGAUUAGGCAGUAAAAUGGUUAGCAAAACCUUCUGGUCAGUCUUUUCUCAGAUCUGGUCUUCCAAAUUGCAAUUACGUACACUAUUCACACACACAACAGCACUAAAAGAAGAAAAAAAGUAUAUAAGGAACAAAAAUUCUUUUUUGAAUUUUGGAAUUAGCAGAGGGGUGGAAGAAGCUUAGCAAUAAUAGAAUGUUUGUUUAUAAAUAUUGGCAUCUUUUCAGUUGCCAUCUUUCUAAAACAGAAAUUUUAUUUUACCACAACUCUUGAGAAUUUUUUUUAACAAAAGUCCUUAAAAAUUUAUUGCUUGCCAAUCCGUUUCCCUAUUCUGAAGUGCAAGCAUUUUUCUUACAUAUUCUGCUUUCCACAGAAUUUUGUUUUUGAUGCGAUGCCUUUGUGCAGUUAAGCACUUAGUUGCAAAUUGUACAGAGGUCUUCAGGAAAAGCUAAUUGUUAUUGUUGACAUAGGAAUUUAUAAACUUUCAGAGAACAUAAAGCAAUUCUUUUUGGAACUGUGGAUCUUGAAGGAAAUGUGUCUCUUUGGUUAGAAAAAGUUUAUUUAUCCUUGGUCUUAAAGGUUUUUUUUUUAACCCAAUAUAUUUUACUUGCUGUUAUUUGUGGCUUUAUUUUCUUUGAGAUCCACUGUUACAAAAAAAAUAUUAUAGGUGUUUCUUAUUAAAUACUUUCUGAAGUUAAUACACCAUUAGUAUUUCUAGAUAUUUAAAUAUUACAUCCUCAAACAUGCUGCUAUAUUUUGGCAAAUUUUAAUUUUGGUGAUGCCAUGUAAAAAGCACUGCUGCUGGUGCUUCAUAAAAAGCACCCAGUACACUCUGUAAAUUGAUUGGCAUUAGGAAGUGCAUUCAGCCAUAGAAACAGUGCCAGAACAGUUUGGACCCUGGUGCAGUCCUGUUAUACUAAUCUGAUCUUUUUAGAUUUACAAGAAUUUUUUUGGUUUUGUAGGUUUUAAUUUAAUGUCUGCUGUAUUGAGUUAGUGCUGGCAUUAUUUUAAUGUUUUGGGUGAUUUGUUGUUAAGACAGGCACCAAGCAAGCAGUUAGUCCUAUUAGUGGCAUUUUAUUUUAUCUACAUAGGUAGCCCUUCUGAAAAGAUAUGAAUGUGAUGUUUUGGUUUGAUGCCUAUUUAGGAAAAAAACUUAUCUUUUGCAGUGUUUAGCAGGUAGUAUAAAACUUUGGAUGUUUAGAUCUAAAUGCCACUUCAAGAAUUCUUAUGAGGACAUUGUAGAUUAGUAAUAGUCCAAAUGUGAAUAAAAGCUAUGGAAAAUAGUUUUCUCUUGCCUUACAUAAUCAACAAAAGAAAAAUGUAAUGCAUCACACAUUCUUUACUAUGCUGAAGUCUUCUCUACUUUUACAUACACACUUAUGGUUUCAAUAUUUAUUAGCUUCUUUGUAACUCAGAGCAAGGGUCCCCCAAUUUGUUCAACCUGCUAGAAGCAGCAACACUCACCUUCAGACUAAUGCAGUACUAGAAAAUACAUGCACACACAAUCUCUUUUUGAACAUAGAUGGUAUUGAUUUAGAGGAAUUACUUUUCAAUUGCAUGCAUCUUACAACUUUAAUGGGAUGAGGAACUAUAAUUGCUGAUUGGGAUGUGGAAGCAAGAUGACUAAAUAGACUGGAUAUUGGGUUAUUUAUCCAUGGUUUGGAAAUUGAAAGCUUCUGUAAUUUCUAAAUUGCCCCAAUUUACUUAGCUCUCAAGAAAAGGGACCUAUUUAAUUUGGAAAUGCUACCUCUGACUAGUUAUUUCAUUCUACUUGGCUGUUAGAUCUGGACAUUACUUUAGAAGUAUACGAUUAAAAACUGCAACUGUUUUCCACAUCAAAUUCAUCUUGCAAAAUAUCCACCACCAGGUGGAUAUUUUUUUGGACCACCACCUACUUUUGGUCUGUUGGUUUCUUCAUGUACCAUAUAAAUGGAUUUAAGUUGAAAGCUUACAAGGUCCUCUUUCUUGGCACCUAAUGUGUCAAGCCAUUUUUAUUCAUAAGCCAUUGAUACUACUAUCCUGUGGAUGAUUGGGAAAUGAGUCAAGUUAGAGAUCUAGAAAAGAAUGUGGUUACUUGCAUUAACUCUUCAGCAUCAAUCUUCAGAUCAAUCCAGUUUAAUGUAAUGCUUGUUUAUUAGCAUUGUCUUGGAUUAUUUAUGCAUUAUGUUGUAGCUUUGAGAUUUGUGUGAUUGUUUAUCUAUAGAAUGACAUUGCAUGGUAGGUGUGAGAAGCUGGCUCUCUCUGGUUUGAAGAUAAAACAGAAUAUUUGGGCAAGAUAUGACCAGUUUAAAUGCUAAAGGAUUUAGGUCCACAUUGCCUAAGUUUUAUUUUCAGUUUGCUCUAGCUAGAUACUGAAAAUCUCUUAAUUACCUUAAUAUUAAGAGCAAUACCUUACCUUUUAUUAUUUAAAUCUGUCAUAUCCUGACAGGUCAAGCCUCUCACGCUUUUCCUACAAUGUCAUUCUUAAAAUAAACAAUCACAAUGUCAAAACUACAAGAUAAUACAUGCUUAGUUUUAAACAUUACAUUUGAUAGAAUACUCUGUAUGCUCAGGAACAUUUUCAUUUUCUUUUCAUGUAAUUCAAACAUUAGAAGAAUCUUCCAUUUAGUAAUUUUGAAGUAAGGUUCCUCAGUUCUAUAUAUUUUCACGAAUGGGGUUAAUAAAUUGUCGACUAAAAUUAUAGUUAGGCAAGUUUUUCUCUGCUUUAACCCCUGGUCAACCUAAGCCAUGUACUUUUUUUUUUUUUUUAUUUAGUUUCUCAACAUUUAAUAGUUGUUGUAAAUGUGCAUCACAAUCGUACAGUGUAUUCUGUUUCUGAUCUUCCAUAAAAAAGCAUGUCUGAGUAUGGGGAAACAUUACCUUUGCUUGGAAACAAGUGAAGCUUAGGACUAGAGAAACUCUGUCUAAAAAAAAA